CCUGAAAUCAGUAAUAUGGUCUUUUGGUUCUCGC
rnacentral:sRNA from 1 species